UACGUAGGGAGCAAGCGUUGUCCGGAAUCAUUGGGCGUAAAGCGCGCGUAGGCGGCCUUGUAAGUCCGUUGUGAAAGUCAAAGGCUCAACCUUUGAAAGCCGAUGGAUACUGCAAGGCUAGAGUCCGGAAGAGGCGAGUGGAAUUCCUGGUGUAGCGGUGGAAUGCGCAGAUAUCAGGAGGAACACCAAUAGCGAAGGCAGCUCGCUGGGACGGUACUGACGCUAAGGCGCGAAAGCGUGGGGAGCGAACAGGAUUAGAUACCCGGGUAGUCC
rnacentral:rRNA from 1 species